UUAAAAAGCUCGUAGUUGAAUUUCGGGGUUAGUAGGUUGGUCAUGCCUCUGGUAUGUACUGGUCUCACUGAUUCCUCCUUCCUGAUGAGCCGUAAUGCCAUUAGUUUGGUGUUGCGGGGAAUUUGGACUGUUACUUUGAAAAAAUUAGAGUGUUUAAAGCAAGCUAACGCUUGAAUACAUUAGCAUGGAAUAAUGAAAUAGGACGUUCGAUCCUAUUUUGUUGGUUUCUAGGAUUGACGUAAUGAUUAAUAGGGAUAGUUGGGGG
rnacentral:rRNA from 1 species